CUUUGUAUAUCUAAGUAUGUAAGAGCGGGGUUCUUACCUCCGUAAUGUGGGUAACCACUACAAGGU
rnacentral:tRNA from 1 species